UAAGACGAACCGAGCGAACGUUGUUCGGAAUCACUGGGCUUAAAGGGCGCGUAGGCGGCUUACCAAGUCAGGGGUGAAAUUUUGCGGCUUAACCGUAACAGUGCCUUUGAUACUGGUAGGCUCGAGGGAGACAGGGGUCCGCGGAACUUCUGGUGGAGCGGUGAAAUGCGUUGAUAUCAGAAGGAACGCCGGUGGCGAAAGCGGCGGACUGGAUCUUUUCUGACGCUGAGGCGCGAAAGCUAGGGGAGCAAACGGGAUUAGAUACCCCGGUAGUCCUAGCCCUAAACGUUGGGUACUAGAUUGUAAGCGUGACAUGCGCCUACAGUCGAAGCAAAAGUGUUAAGUACCCCGCCUGGGGAGUAUGGUCGCAAGGCUG
rnacentral:rRNA from 1 species